rnacentral:miRNA from 1 species
UGACCAAAAUUCUUCUUCCCCAGUCCAGGCAUUCCAACAGUUGAUAACAUCUAGAUCUGCCAAUCCUUUGUAUUUUUUGUUCUUCUAUUUUUCACAUGACAUGUUCAAAAUCCACUAUGAGCUUCAUCAUAAUCUAAGAAAUGGUGAGUUUUGAUGAUGUGAUGCCUAAAAUAGGAUUAAAUGAAAGUACUAGUAAAAAGGUGUUCAAAUCUGGAGGUUAUGUUAAGCUGGUGGUAUGCUUUGAUUGGGAAAGAUGACUUGGGUCA